AUUUACCAUUGAUGAUCCUUAUUUUUAGGAGUAAUUGGGCUUUAUUAUGUUGUGUUGCCAAUGCCAUAUCAUUGAUAGAUUUGUAAAUCAAUUCCACACAUAGGGGAUCAGGCCAAUAAAACAUGUAUUAGGCUGUGGCAACAGGUUUAAACCCUUUUUUUGUGUGAUCUAUCAACCUACUACUGAAUGUGUCUUAAUAGAUUUAGUUAUGGUAAAAGAAAAUGAAAUAUUGCGUUGUGGAAAGUCGUAGCAUACUUAACUUAUUUCCAAACCUUAUGUGCAUGCUUGUACAGAUAAUUUGAUGUUUACGGUAAUUUUUCAGUGGUUCUAAUCUGAUGCCUUCAUUUAAACUUUAAUUUAAUUGUACCUUAAUUGACAAAAUGCAACACAGAAUUAGCAAAUGUAUGAUUCAGGAUUUGCGUUGUACAUAUUUCUAUAUAAUGUAUGUAUUGUUUCUAAAGUGUUGUGUGACUUUAUAAAACAUAUAAAGUAAAUGCACUUUGACAAAAUACACAUUACAAAUGUUACAAUUCACAAUUAAAAUAAAACUGUUCAAAUUAAAAACAUACUUUUUCCAAAGCUUGAAAUAAAACCUUUUUGUAUAGGCAUACAUAACAA